CGCACGCCACACACAGAACCAGAGUCGUCACCACUACUACGCGCCAACGUCGACCGUAUCGUCCGCACUACUACCACUACUACCGCCACCACUUCCACCAAUCCAGCGACCGACGCUAAUUGCAGUCAGCUCAUCGUUUUCCGUAAGCAUAGGAUAGUCGGUGCUGAAAGAAAGGAGCAUAGGCCACGUGAAAAAGCAGGACGAGUCGAGUCGAAGGACCGGAGAAAAAUAAAGAUAAAGGAAAGGUUCGAGAAACAGGAACAUCGCGGGAGGAAACAGAGGAAAAGGAGGAAAAGGAGGAAAAGGGGGCCAAUUACGCGAGGCUAGAGAAUAGAAGACGGAAAAGAGAAGAGAGUAAGUAGUAGAGCUUCGAAGCAUAGCUUAGCGUGGACCGACACGGCAUAUCCAUAGACAUAUACACUGUGUCUAUGGGCAUAUCGACGAGAUCCGAGAGCGGCCGAGCACGACCGAGCCGGGCCGACUCGGACCCUGCGCGCUCAACCCAAACCGGAGGAAGCAUAGUUGCAUUUAAACUGCCAUCCCACUGAGGUCUCUCUUCCGUAGUGUUGGAGUAGUCUGCUGGCUGGGCCAGCCGCACUCGACGAGUACGUGUCGCGUACCUUGCACCGUUCACCCGCACUCUCUUGCACCAUAUAACCGGACACUCUCUCGCGUGUGACACUUGCUUCUGUCUGUCGCGCUCACCCUCUCGUACGCUUCUCGUCUCGUCUCGUUUCGUCUCGCCUCCUCUCCGCUUUGUUUCGGGGAAAACGUGCGCCGGCUGGAUUCUCAACUCGCAAGAAAGAAAAAGGGUUUUCGUACGAGGAACGGACCCGAGCGUUUUCACCCGAGUUCCUUCUCUAUCAAGACUCGUGUGCAUCCUGCUGAUUCAAGAACGAAAAACUUCGGAAUCGAGAAAGGAGAAGAAAGAAAAGAGGAAAAGGGGACAGCGGUAUCGGUCGUCGAGUAUCGAGAUCGAAAUGUUUCCGGGAUAAUAGCGUUCAAUCGCAAUUUUCAACUAUUCGACUAUUUCAACCAUUCGAUGGCCAGAAUCUCGUGGAGAUCUAAUCGAUCGUACGGUGUCUGCAAUAAUCUUCUUUGUCUUGUUCGUGUUCGAGGAAACUCCAAGUUGAUUCAGUUGAGUGGACUAGCCGGGACUGUCAAAGUUGCGCCUCGGAGUCAGCUGCUUCCGUUACGUCGAGCCGCAGACCCGUGUCUAUAGGAUGUCCUCGAAACGCGCAUCGCGAGGUCUUCGUUUCUCUUUCAACGUUUUCGACCGAUCGUCGGCGAAAGAGAAGAAUUGGGGGGCAAGAGACGUUGUUCUUCUCGGGCAUCGAACAAAUAAAUACGAAUGGGCAGAUUUCGGAAAACGGUCGGGAAAGUAGACGUUGCCGUUUCACAUUUUGGUGUUCCCUUUGUCCAACUGGGUAGUAACUUGUUAGCCGGCCGCCUUGAAAUCUUAAACUCCGCCGCUCGUCCAAGAAACAGAGAGAGCCUGCUCGUUUUUCCUCCGUGAAUCCCCAUAGUUUUUCGCGUUCCCACCGAGAUCAGCGAGAAUAACUUGUUGACUUUUCUCUCGUGAGGGCAACCGCGACGUUUUCACCUGUAUUACGCCAAUCGAAUUUAAAUUUCUACGACGAUCUUUAUCCGCUAUAAUAUUUUCCAAGCACUCGCGGUGAAUCUGCUUCGAUACAAGCCAUCGUGUUCUUCCUUAUUUUCGCAAAGAUUCUUCGAUUAGCUCGCAACGCUGUAUGCAUGUUACGCGGAGCCACGUCGAUCAAUAAAACACGGCUAUUUCGAUCCGUGAAUUACGUAAUUUCCCGAAUUUCCCUAGCCAAUCCUCGGUGCUCUUUUUUGCCAUUGUGCUAACGAAUUUUUCACGUUUCUAACGAACAGAAAGCGAACGAGGCACAAAUAGCCACCUUCGCCGCUGUGCUAUUCCUCUCGUUCAAUUUCAUCGCCGGUUUCUUUCUCGCAAUUUUCGCAAGAGAACGCACAGAGAACCCAUUAUGCCACUACGGUAGUCGUCUACUUGAAAUUAUCGAUUCCAUCGAAAACGUUUCUUUCGCUUGUACUUCUCGCUCACCACAUCGCUCACCAAGAACGCUUUAUCAGUUAAUUAGCCGAGUUGAUCAGCGUCGUUUCAAAAACAGAGGGGAAACGAGUUUUUCGGGAAUCUGUUUCGAGAUUUAUCGUCAUUUCCGAUGUUCUUGUGAUUUUUCGUCGAACGCGGUCGACCGAUAUUUUCCAACGCUCCGACGUUGGUAAUUCCCGUGGAAAUCACGUAUGACGUAAGAUUUCAUCGAGUAUUCAUCGGUGUGAAACGGACAGGAAGAUUCGAGGCGAGAAUUUCUUACGAGCUUGGUUUUACAAUGCAUUUUUCUCGUUCUCCGCGACGAUUGGUCCAUACGAAAGGUAUCGAAACGCUGUUGCUACGUGCUCCGAUGGGGGCCACCUUUAAAGCCGAUAUCGCGGAACGAAGUACAUACUUGCUUGCUAUGACCGGGCGAAAUGCUUAAAAGUCCGAGACCGAUGAUCUGGAUAAUCUUCUACGAUUUCUGUGCAAGGCCCAACAUUCUCGAUCGAAAGAGACUCUUCGUUCCACUUUUGACCUUUCCCAGCCGAUCGAUCGGUCUCUGCGAUUUCAAGACCUAACCUGCUCUUUCCUGCAAACCAUUCUUCGUUUCUCCAUCCGUAUUUUAAUGAAUUCUGAUCGUUUCUCGCCGAAAUAACGACCUUCCUCGAGAAGACGAUGUCCUUCGACCGACGAAACGGACGGAAACGUUAAUCGCGGACAGAUUGGAAAAUAAUCGAAAAUCGAGGGAGCUGACGCGACGACCAUAGCCCCCAGAGUGUUGUGUAUCGUGCGAGGUUCGUUUCAGAAUGGUUCCUUUUCUUCCGUUCCGUUCGCACUCGUAAACGCGAAUUAUCGGCACGAGGCCAAAAUUGCGCCCCUUUUUCGCGCCUCUGACAUUUAGUUCGACGUUGUGCCAGCUUUCCCAGUCUCUUUACGUUUCUCAAAAUCGUCGCCUCCCGAAAUUAAUAGAUCGCAGACUCGUCGACAUCGUCGGAAAUCGGUCCGAUAUCGAUAUCGAAGUGAAUAUAAAUUAAUAAGGAACCGCGCGGAUUAAAGCGAAUAGCUUCAAAGAAAGAUGAAUCGAUGUGCGGUGUUGGAGUUAAAAGCGACAUCGUUCGGUGGAUGACGCGCCGACAAAUUGUAAUUCCGAUUCGCAGCUUCUGCAGUUGUCGGUUGAUACUCGGUUCCGUGUCGCGGGCUCGUUACGAGCGACCAAAAGGUAAUUUCUUACUCGGCGUAAUAACACGUUCCUGUGUACACACAUCGUCGGCCACUUUUCCGCAACUAUUAGCCCAAUUAGCUCGGACCAGCUUCACCGUCAACUGUUGCACGCGAGUUCUAACAACGAAUCGACGGGAUUGGACGCGGCAACUGCCUAUCGAUCAAUUAGCCAUUCCGUCGCAACUUUGCCCCUCCGUUUUUCAAAAUGUCAUUAAUCGGGAACGGAUAAUUUUUCGAUGGUUCGCAGCAAUUUCUAACUUGGAUUUUCUGGCCUAGAGACGCGCUUAAUCGUCGCGUUUGUUCCACGUUGGCGAGCUUCUAUCGAUCAAAAACGAUCUCGCCUGUAAUUCAUCGUUUAGAAAUUUCCAAGUACUUGGUACAAACGACCCUCGGUUGUUGUAUUUACAUUCUUCGUUUCUAUCAUCCUGACAUAUUUCGUAGCUUUAGCAGGAUAUUUCGGUGCGAAACUGCUCGUUUUAAUAGACCUCUUUUAAGAGAAAGUAAGAAGUUAAUUAGUUCGCGAUAAUUAAAAAAACUCGUUUCUUCCUUAAUGUUGGCUGUGGCUUGCCGAUUUCUAAAUAGUCAAUAGCUAAUUUCCAAUCUCUUAACUUCAGGUACCUUAGAUGCGAAAUAAUUCGUUUUAUCGAACGAAAAUAUUUCUUACCUCGUAUCGUUUCGAACCUGUCGAUUCGCUAGCCUAAUUCUUUAUGUUCCAUCGAUUAAAUCGAAGAAUAAUAAAAAACAUUUGCCUCCGUCAAUUAAAACGGGUAUUCAUCUAAAAUCAUUCUCCCUCGACGCUUUAUCCGAUUCUAGCUUCGAUCCUUUUAACUCCGACAAUAUCGAAAAACGAUUAAAAUCUUUCGACGAAAAUCUUUCCAAAGCGAAGCUCUUCUUUCGUCUUCUUUUUUCUUUUUUUUUUUUUUUCUUUUUUUUCUUGUUCGAAAAUGGUCUCUCGAUACUCGGCGCAGGCCGAGAGAAUUCGUCCGCUCUGUGAGAAAAUGAAUAGAAUCGAUCGAUCCGAGAAAGGGAGUAGUAAAUUCACGUGAGUGAUCGGGAAGGAUUGAUGAGAACGGUUCUUUCCAAGAGCCAGGAACAGACGACGAGCAUCGUUUUUCACGUUGGGCGAAAUCGGAGACCUGCCGUUGCUUUGCAAACGCCGUGAACCUUGGGAGUGAUCACCCCUUGAUCAAUUAUCCAUCGUUCGGCGAAGGACCAAAAUUCGUGCCGGUGCCACAAUCCGUGCAGUUGGUGAUCGAACGCCUAUAGUAACACUUGCCAAAGCGAAAUUAUAUUUCGCGACAAGGGUGUUAAUGAACGAGCUCGGGCUUCAAGCUUAAAAUAUUCGAGCGAUCUAAGGUUCUCCAGAAGUCUGUUCUCAAAGUACGAAUCGGAAAAAUUGGCAGUCAAAAACCGUAUAUACUUGGAGAUUUUGCCGAACCACGAACAAUGGAGAUUCGAGUGUCGUCUCUCGAGGCAAAGGGAGAAAGAGCGAAUAGUAGGAUGAAACAUGGUACGGUCUUGAUUCCUUGGCUGCCACUGCUGAGUGCGGAGCUUCGCAGAGUUCUCUCCGCGCUCUUCACUUCUUUCUUUCCCUUCGAUUCUCUCCUUCACUAUCCGACAGCCUAUUUUUCCGCAACUUCUGAUGGCUCUCGAGGUCCCUGUCUUACCGUGUCCUCGUGGCGGCGCUAUUGCGUAAAAUCGGAGAAGAGGCAGCGCGUUCCUCGCCCGGAGCAACGUGACAACGGAAAGAAGAAACACUCGAGCAUGUCCCAGCAGUGUAAAAUUCGAACGUUACGGUCGGGCCUGACUCUUUGCUCUGCCCGUACUUUUCCUUCUGGGUGAGCAAAGUUUCAGGUGUGUCCGUGACAGUCUAUCGUCGCAGCCUGUGAUUUCUUUCCUCGGCCUAUGGAUCCAUCGUAGUCGAUGCAACGAAUAACGAACAAUAACGAUCUUCGGUCGAGCGUUGACAUUGAAAAACUGCCAUCGGCUGGAAAACGUCCAAACUAUUCUAGAAAAGAGUCGAUUUACGAGGGUAAGCAGGGCGAAGUGCGCGAUAAAUACCUAGGUGGAAAUCAAGCAUCCUCGACAGUACUCUUACGCCUGAAAUUUGCUUUUUACCUGGCCCUCGUGCUCUCUUACUUUGAGAAAAUAAAGGUGAGCAAAGUUUCAGGUGUGUGAGUGCGUUGGAAUCAACAAGUAAACUCGAAUGGUAAGACCUUAGAAUAAAAUUCGGAAUCGCGCUGCUUCCAUGGAUCUCUUGUGGACAAAAAUUGAAAUCGUAUCAAAAGGAGAAAUUACAUUCGCCCAAUUUUCAUUACAUCGGAAACACGUUUAAGGAAAUUAUUAUACAUGUAUAUUAUAUUUGUGAACCAUGAAAUAGAGAUUUUCUCCUAAUCACAAAUUUAUUUCUUUUGACAAUUUGAGAAUUUCAAUGCUACGAUAAACGACUCGGAAGAAAGCUAACCUUGUGGAAUAAAAAGCUUCGUCAAUGUCGUAAACGAUGCGUCUAAGAGUAAGUCUAAAAUUAGCAAUGAAAUUAGGCAGGCUUUGGAAACACUAAUAAAUCAACUGAAGCGUUACGAUCUGGUUUCCGUCACUGUCAGGCUUCCUCCUAUAUAUGUAAAUCAAUAACCAACUGGUUUAAAGCCGAUGUGGUUGAGAGAAUCCAAUUUCACACAUUUAAACUUUUAUAUUUAAGAUUAAGAUAUUCCAUCACGUGUAAAUAACGAGUCUUUAAUUCGUUCAUUCUUGUACGUGAAAACCAAGCAGAUAUUGUACGAUAAAAAGUAACUGAAAGAAAUAUUAAAAAAUUAAGAGAACAAUCUGUCCAAAUUAUUUAAGUUGUAAUAAUAUCCCUAACUUUGUAUCCUGAAAACGGUUAAUGCUUACAUCUGUACACGCGCGAAUCCCGUUCCUAACAUUUUCAUGAAAUAAAUAUAAAAAUUAUUUAUCACAAACGAACCAAUUACGGUACGCGAAAGUAAAGAUGUAGAUGAGUAAAUUAAAAUUUGUGAACCCUACUCGAAUUAAGUUAUCACCAUCCGCUACUCAAGAACCGAUUACCAAACGAAUUGCUUAUCCAAUAAUAUUUAAUCGUCUUCGGUAAAGUAAUAGCGACAAGGGACAACGAUAAUCCCACGAAUUAUUUCCAUUUAAAUGCGAGUUUACCCCAGGCAGUUAAUUCAUCAAAAGCGUCCCAUCACCGAAGGGGGAGCGCGCAAGAAGUUAUUAGCACUUUUAGGUUUAUGCUCGGCCUUUAACUUUCACCGUUCAAAAUUAGAAAAGCAACGAAUCAUAGUCGCGAAGGACGAAUUUUAGAAUUUUAGAAUUAUAUUAUAUAUAGAAUUAUAUUAUAAAUCGCGUUUUUAACGAUUAUUAUAGCAAGGUAUUACAUCGAUACCGCUAUUAUACUAACGAUAACUUGGCAAGUUCGUUAUUACCAAAAGUUUCUAUCAUACCGGCGCUAAUAAUAUUGCAGGCAUCGAGCUUAAACUGUUAACACGUCGACCAGCCGGUAUCGUGCAUUCGAAAUGUAUUAUUCGCGAUAAGAACAAGCCGAAUUAUCGUGCUUUGUACAAGAACCAGACAUUGAAUAAGUUGUAUGUGUGUGUGUGUUAUCUGCUUACGUUCUUUAUUACACUUUUUCAACGGCGUAGAUUAAUUGGAAAAGUUGCUAUCCGAUAGUUGAAUUCUUUCUCCCGACAACGUUCGCCGCGAAUGAACAAGGGAAAUUAUUUCUAUGCCGUAAAUGAACACGGAACGUAAAAAUAAUGGUAUUUGACAAGAUAUAAGAAGUAUGUUAGUUUUCGAAAGAAACACUUAAGUACAAAACGAUAUCGCCUCCUUCUCCUACAAACGUAUUGAAACCCGAAUAAUAGAUAUUUAUUCACUGGCGACUAUUCGUUUUCUAUUUUUUUACGGCUUUAGCGUCAAACCGCGUUCCCAUUCGUACUCACGUUCGUGAAUUAAACGUAUGGCGUAUGGAGAUAAACGCUUAACCCAGGGUCGGACAAUGCAAUUCGACGUAAACGGAUCCU